rnacentral:misc_RNA from 1 species
AAGUCGUAACAAGGUUUCCGUAGGUGAACCUGCGGAAGGAUCAUUAGCGAAGUUCGGAAUGCAUGUUCGAUGUUGAUGCUGCCCAGCAAUGGGAUGUGCUCGCUCGGAUGUGUGUCCCUUCUCUAUCCACCCCAUUGUGAACCAAGUGUGUGAGCCGAAGAGAGAUCGGACGCUCGCAUGCAAACCUUUAACAUACCCCAAUAAAGUAUCAGAAUGUACCUUGCGUUAACUCGCACAAAUAUAACUUUCAACAACGGAUCUCUUGGCUCUC